UUAGUAGUCACCACUUAGCAGCAGCAGCUAAGUCAGUCAAUGAAGUCGUGACGUGAGUGUGGAUGUAAUCACACCGAGAGAAAAGAUGGAGACGUUGAGCAGAAGAACACUGGACAGGAUUUAUUCUCUGGUCCUCCUGGCCAUUGUGGUCUUGUCCUGGUCUUAUGUGAUAUAUGCAAGCAGGAUUGCAGCCCAUUGGCUGAUGGAGAAGAGGACUGGAGUCUUGAGACAGGACUGAAUUUGAUCUGGACCUACAGUCCAGGUAGGUGUUUUAGGUUUACCGGUACGCGGUAUGACCUGCAAACACACGUACAGACCCAGUUUUGCUGAACUCCAGGAUCUGGAGUCUCCACAGAAACAGUAAACAAGAAUGAAAGGACAUCAGGACCACCGACAGAAGCUGCAGACACGCUGAUGUUGUUCUGACACUGACCAGCAGAGGGAUCUGCUCACUGUAUGACGUCUCAUGUUGCCUUCCCCUUAAAAAGAGGAUUUAAGGCUUUGUGUCGGAGCUUUAGAAAACACCACACCUCACUGUGUGACUUUAGUUUGGCAGAGUUUUAUUUCUGCCUUUUUGUAUUUUUUAUCGCGUGUGAACUCAAAUUUAUUUUGUAUCUUGGUCAACAUUGCUGUUUUUUGUAGAACUAAUAAAAGUGUAUUUAAUUUU